rnacentral:rRNA from 1 species
GAUGAACGCUGGCGGCGUGCCUAAUACAUGCAAGUCGAGCGAACAGACGAGGAGCUUGCUCCUCUGACGUUAGCGGCGGACGGGUGAGUAACACGUGGAUAACCUACCUAUAAGACUGGGAUAACUUCGGGAAACCGGAGCUAAUACCGGAUAAUAUAUUGAACCGCAUGGUUCAAUAGUGAAAGACGGUUUUGCUUUCACUUAUAGAUGGAUCCGCGCCGCAUUAGCUAGUUGGGAAGGUAACGGCUUACCAAGGCAACGAUGCGUAGCCGACCUGAGAGGGUGAUCGGCCACACGGGAAGUGAGACACGGUCCAGACUCCGACGGGAGGAAGCAGUAGGGAAUCUUCCGCGAUGGGCGAAAGCCUGAUGGAGCAACGCCGCGUGAGUGAUGAAGGUCUUCGGAUCGUAAAACUCUGUUAUUAGGGAAGAACAAAUGUGUAAGUAACUAUGCACGUCUUGACGGUACCUAAUCAGAAAGCCACGGCUAACUACGUG